rnacentral:tRNA from 1 species
UCCCUGGUGGCUCAAAUGGUGAAGCAUCUGCCUGCAAUGCGGGAGACCUGGGUUCAAUUCCUGGGUUGGGAA